CAGGCCUAACACAUGCAAGUCGAACGGUAUUGAGCUUCGGCUCAGUAUAGUGGCAAACGGGUGCGUAACGCGUAAGCAACCUGCCCUUCACUGGGGGAUAGCCUGGCGAAAGCCGGGGUAAGCCCGCACGGUUCCAAGAGAUCGCCUGGUUUUUUGGAUAAAGAUUAAUCGGUGGAGGAGGGGCUUGCGUCUGAUUAGGUAGUUGGUGAGGUAACGGCUCACCAAGCCGGUGAUCAGUAGGGGUUCUGAGAAGAUUGGCCCCCACAUGGGUACUGAGAGACGGACCCAACUCCUACGGGAGGCAGCAGUAGGGAAUAUUGGGCAAUGGGCGAGAGCCUGACCCAGCCAUGCCGCGUGCAGGACGAAGGCGCUCAGCGUUGUAAACUGCUUUUACUCAUGAAGAACGGUUGGUUUGCGAACCAAUGUGACGGUAAUGAGGGAAUCAGCACCGGCUAACUCCGUGCCAGCAGCCGCGGUAAU
rnacentral:rRNA from 1 species